rnacentral:rRNA from 1 species
UCGCUCCUACUGAUUGAGUGAUCCGGUAAAUAAUUCGGACCGCGGCAUUGUCCAGUUCCUGGCCCAUUGUUGCGCAAAGUUUAAUGAACCUUAUCACUUAGAGGAAGGAG